rnacentral:rRNA from 1 species
GACGAACGCUGGCGGCGUGCCUAAUACAUGCAAGUAGGACGCAGUUGCGAACGGGUGAGUAACGCGUAGGUAACUACCUAUUAGAGGGGGAUAACUAUUGGAAACGAUAGCUAAUACCGCAUACUAGUAGAUGGACCUGCGUUGUCUUAGCUAGUAGGUAGGGUAAUGGCCUACCUAGGCAACGAUUCAUAGCCGACCUGAGUGGGUGUGCGGUCACACUGCGACUGGGACACCGCCCAGACUCCUACGGGGAGCAGCAGUAGGGAAUCUUCGGCAAUGGGGUGAACCCUGACCGAGAAAUGCCGCGUGAGGGAAGAAGGUUCUCGGAUCGUAAAGCUCUGUUGUUAAGGAAGCGGUACUUAACCAGAAAGGGACGGCUAACUACGUGCCAGCAGCCGCGGUAAUAC